UAUUGUUGUUGUUGUUUGUUGUUAACUUGAGACAAGGCAGGAGAUAUUAUUUGUUAUUUAUUAUUUAAAAGGACAGGCAGGAGUAUUGUUGUUGUUGUUAUUGGAGACAGGCAGGAGUAUUGUUGUUGUUAUUGGAGACAGGAGUAUUGUUGUUGUUGUUAUUGGAGACAGGCAGGACUACUGUUGUGGAGACAGGAGUAUUGUUGUUGUGAUUGGAGACAGGCAGGAGUAUUGUUGUUGUUAUUGGAGACAGGCAGUAUUGUUAUUAGGGAACAGAGUGGUAUU
rnacentral:lncRNA from 1 species